UUGAAUCACUGAUUCCUGUAUGAUCACUAAAGUUAAGCAAUGUCAAUCCUGGUCAGUACCUAGAUAGGUGACCAUGUGGGAAUACCAGGUGCUGUAAG